rnacentral:lncRNA from 1 species
GAGAGAGGCGCGGCGUCGGAGGGAGAUGGAGGUUGUCGACGGCGGCAGUAGCCGCCGGAUUUGAAGGAGGAGGAGGCUGUGAGAUAGAGAUUUGAGGGAGAGGGUGAACCGAUGCAUUUAGAUUUUAGAGAGUGAGUGAGAAAGUGAGCGAGAUGAAGAAAGAGGGUGAAGGCGCCAUGGUGGAGGCCUCACGGUGACACUCGCCGGAGAAGGAGGGAUAAGGAUGUUUGACUUGAGAAAGUUUGG